rnacentral:tRNA from 1 species
UGCCAGAUAGCUCAAUUGGCUGAGCAAGCGGCUGUUAACCGUGAGGUUGUGGGUUCGAGUCCCACUCUGGCAG